AUAUACCAAUCGGGUUGUGGGUCAAGUUGCACACGGGUCAAGCUUUUUCCAGACCAAAACGGCACCGUUUAAUCAAAAUAAAAAAAAUACAACCUGCUCUCAUUAAUUUUAUCCCUCGUCUUCUCCUUUGCAAAUUCCCUGACAUCUCCAAAGUUCAAAAACACCCAAAAAACUAGUUGCGGAAAUGGAAAAACUCGAAUACCGUCGUCCGUCACCAGCGUAUGGAAAUCGAGACCACCACCAGUCGUCGCCUUGCACCGCCAGCAGCGCCUCCUUCUUUCCCCUUUUCUUCUCUUCUUUGUUGUUCUCCCCAAAUCCUGAAUCAAAAUGCCAGAAAUUGGCUGGCCACCAUACAGCCUAGAAUUCCGGCAAUACACCACCGUUGUUCUCGUUUUUCCUUAUUCUCUGCUUCUGUUUUAAAACCCAAAAAUCCCACCGCAAAGUCUUCUUAUAAUUCUUAUUUUUGCUUGUGGUGAUUAUCUCCUUUUUUGUUUGCUAUGGCUUUGCUUUGAUUGUGGGCUGGUUAGGGUUUGCAUCUGGGUAUGAAUAAUUGGUUUUUUUUUUACUUUUUAUGGAUUUUGGUUUUGGGUCUAUGUGCUUGAUUGAGGCUGCUGUCGAUUGAAUCUGUUUUCUGAUUAUAGUUGGAUCCGGUUAACUGCUGGAAUCUUUUUUUCUAUGUGUGCCGAAUGUGUGCUUGUGGAUUCUGAUUGGAAGCUGUUGAUUGAAUGCUUUGUGCUUCCUGUGUUAAGCUUAUUUGCCUCUCGGUUUCUUGCACUGCUAGUUCUGUUUUUACUGCUUGCUUGAAUGCUUCUUGAUUCUUCUAUUGUUUUCUGUUGCUGAUUGCCUUUUUUCUGUUGAUCCUUGCUUCUGGCUUGAAUUGUCGAUUGUUUGCUCUUGAUUGCAGGUUGCUUAUUGCUUUCAAAUUCUGGGCUUGUUUCUUGUGUUUAUUGCUCUCAAUUGAUCUUAGCUGCUGCUUAUCGUGUUUGAAUUUCUGCUCUGCCUAAUUGCUUCUUUGGUGCUUUUCUGAUUGUAAUUAAAGCUUCGGCUUUGUUUGAAUCAAUAGCCUCUUAUUGUGAAUGUUCUGUCCGGCCCCCCUUUCUGUUUGUUUGGUUGCUUCUAUUUAUAGGGAUUGAAUCCCUUUCAGUUUGGAAACUAAAUCAAACCGAUUCUAUGAUUAAUAUGAUUUGAUUUGAUUUUAAUUUCCUUGGACUUUCCAUUGGGGUCCAAGAAAUCAUCAAACCAUUAAAUCCCAAAAUCAAAUCCAAGAUCUUUAAGCAAAUUCCCCAAUUCUAUUUUUCCUUUCGGUUUUCUGAUUUUUCUUUU
rnacentral:lncRNA from 1 species